AGUGAACGCUGGCGGUAGGCCUAACACAUGCAAGUCGAACGGCAGCACAGUAAGAGCUUGCUCUUGCGGGUGGCGAGUGGCGGACGGGUGAGGAAUACAUCGGAAUCUACUUUUUCGUGGGGGAUAACGUAGGGAAACUUACGCUAAUACCGCAUACGACCUACGGGUGAAAGCAGGGGAUCUUCGGACCUUGCGCGAUUGAAUGAGCCGAUGUCGGAUUAGCUAGUUGGCGGGGUAAAGGCCCACCAAGGCGACGAUCCGUAGCUGGUCUGAGAGGAUGAUCAGCCACACUGGAACUGCGACACGGUCCAGACUCCUACGGGAGGCAGCAGUGGGGAAUAUUGGACAAUGGGCGCAAGCCUGAUCCAGCCAUACCGCGUGGGUGAAGAAGGCCUUCGGGUUGUAAAGCCCUUUUGUUGGGAAAGAAAAGCAGCAGGUUAAUACCCCGCUGUUCUGACGGUACCCAAAGAAUAAGCACCGGCUAACUUCGUG
rnacentral:rRNA from 1 species